AAAUUGAAGAGUUUGAUCAUGGCUCAGAUUGAACGCUGGCGGCAGGCCUAACACAUGCAAGUCGAACGGUAACAGGAAGCAGCUUGCUGCUUUGCUGACGAGUGGCGGACGGGUGAGUAAUGUCUGGGAAACUGCCUGAUGGAGGGGGAUAACUACUGGAAACGGUAGCUAAUACCGCAUAACGUCGCAAGACCAAAGAGGGGGACCUUCGGGCCUCUUGCCAUCGGAUGUGCCCAGAUGGGAUUAGCUUGUUGGUGGGGUAACGGCUCACCAAGGCGACGAUCCCUAGCUGGUCUGAGAGGAUGACCAGCCACACUGGAACUGAGACACGGUCCAGACUCCUACGGGAGGCAGCAGUGGGGAAUAUUGCACAAUGGGCGCAAGCCUGAUGCAGCCAUGCCGCGUGUAUGAAGAAGGCCUUCGGGUUGUAAAGUACUUUCAGCGGGGAGGAAGGGAGUAAAGUUAAUACCUUUACUCAUUGACGUUACCCGCAGAAGAAGCACCGGCUAACUCCGUGCCAGCAGCCGCGGUAAUACGGAGGGUGCAAGCGUUAAUCGGAAUUACUGGGCGUAAAGCGCACGCAGGCGGUUUGUUAAGUCAGAUGUGAAAUCCCCGGGCUCAACCUGGGAACUGCAUCUGAUACUGGCAAGCUUGAGUCUCGUAGAGGGGGGUAGAAUUCCAGGUGUAGCGGUGAAAUGCGUAGAGAUCUGGAGGAAUACCGGUGGCGAAGGCGGCCCCCUGGACGAAGACUGACGCUCAGGUGCGAAAGCGUGGGGAGCAAACAGGAUUAGAUACCCUGGUAGUCCACGCCGUAAACGAUGUCGACUUGGAGGUUGUGCCCUUGAGGCGUGGCUUCCGGAGCUAACGCGUUAAGUCGACCGCCUGGGGAGUACGGCCGCAAGGUUAAAACUCAAAUGAAUUGACGGGGGCCCGCACAAGCGGUGGAGCAUGUGGUUUAAUUCGAUGCAACGCGAAGAACCUUACCUGGUCUUGACAUCCACGGAAGUUUUCAGAGAUGAGAAUGUGCCUUCGGGAACCGUGAGACAGGUGCUGCAUGGCUGUCGUCAGCUCGUGUUGUGAAAUGUUGGGUUAAGUCCCGCAACGAGCGCAACCCUUAUCCUUUGUUGCCAGCGGUCCGGCCGGGAACUCAAAGGAGACUGCCAGUGAUAAACUGGAGGAAGGUGGGGAUGACGUCAAGUCAUCAUGGCCCUUACGACCAGGGCUACACACGUGCUACAAUGGCGCAUACAAAGAGAAGCGACCUCGCGAGAGCAAGCGGACCUCAUAAAGUGCGUCGUAGUCCGGAUUGGAGUCUGCAACUCGACUCCAUGAAGUCGGAAUCGCUAGUAAUCGUGGAUCAGAAUGCCACGGUGAAUACGUUCCCGGGCCUUGUACACACCGCCCGUCACACCAUGGGAGUGGGUUGCAAAAGAAGUAGGUAGCUUAACCUUCGGGAGGGCGCUUACCACUUUGUGAUUCAUGACUGGGGUGAAGUCGUAACAAGGUAACCGUAGGGGAACCUGCGGUUGGAUCACCUCCUUA
rnacentral:rRNA from 6 species